rnacentral:rRNA from 1 species
UCGGAAUCUCGAGACCGGCGCACGGGUGCGUAACGCGUAUGCAAUCUACCUUUUACUAUGGGAUAGCCCAGAGAAAUUUGGAUUAAUACCAUAUAGUAUAUUUGAAUGGCAUCGUUUGAAUAUUAAAGAUUUAUCGGUAAAAGAUGAGCAUGCGUCCCAUUAGUUAGUUGGUGUGGCAACGGCAUACCAAGACGAUGAUGGGUAGGGGUCCUGAGAGGGAGAUCCCCCACACUGGUACUGAGACACGGACCAGAUUCCUACGGGAGGCAGCAGUGAGGAAUAUUGGUCAAUGGAGGCAACUCUGAACCAGCCAUGCCGCGUGCAGGAUGACCGGNCCCANCCNUUGNNNACUGCUUUUGUACGGGAAGAAAACAAACUACGAGUAGUUAAUUGACGGUACCGUAAGAAUAAGGAUCGGCUAACUCCGUGUCNAGCAGCCGCGGGUAAUACNGGAGGAUCCAAGGCGUUUUUCCGGAAUCNUUGGGUUUAAAGGGGUCCGUAGGCGGCCUUAUUAAGUCCAGUGGNUGAAAGUUUUUUGGCUUAACCAAAAAAUUGCCAUUGAUACUGUAGGGCUUGAAUAUCUGUGAAGUAACUAGAAUAUGUAGUGUAGCGGUGAAAUGCUUAGAUAUUACAUGGAAUACCGAUUGCGAAGGCAGGUUACUAACAGAUGAUUGACGCUGAUGGACGAAAGCGUGGGUAGCGAACAGGAUUAGAUACCCUGGUAGUCCACGCCGUAAACGAUGGAUACUAGCUGUUUGGUUUUCGGACUGAGUGGCUAAGCGAAAGUGAUAAGUAUCCCACCUGGGGAGUACGGUCGCAAGACUGAAACUCAAAGGAAUUGACGGGGGCCCGCACAAGCGGUGGAGCAUGUGGUUUAAUUCGAUGAUACGCGAGGAACCUUACCAGGGCUUAAAUGUAGAUUGACAGAUUUGGAAACAGAUUUUUCUUCGGACAAUUUACAAGGUGCUGCAUGGUUGUCGUCAGCUCGUGCCGUGAGGUGUCAGGUUAAGUCCUAUAACGAGCGCACCCCUGGUUGUUAGUUGCCAGCACGUAUGGUGGGAACUCUAGCAGACUGCCAGUGUAACUGUGAGGAAGUGGGGAUGACGUCAAAUCAUCACGGCCCUACGUCCUGGGC